rnacentral:rRNA from 1 species
GGGGAAUAUUGCGCAAUGGGCGAAAGCCUGACGCAGCGACGCCGCGUGGGGGAUGACGGCCUUCGGGUUGUAAACCUCUUUCGACCUUGACGAAGGCCUUCGGGUUGACGGUAGGGGUAGAAGAAGCACCGGCCAACUACGUGCCAGCAGCCGCGGUAAUACGUAGGGUGCGAGCGUUGUCCGGAAUUAUUGGGCGUAAAGAGCUCGUAGGCGGUGUGUCACGUCGGUCGUGAAAACUUGGGGCUUAACCCUGAGCUUGCGGUCGAUACGGGCAUCACUUGAGUUCGGCAGGGGAGACUGGAAUUCCUGGUGUAGCGGUGAAAUGCGCAGAUAUCAGGAGGAACACCGGUGGCGAAGGCGGGUCUCUGGGCCGAUACUGACGCUGAGGAGCGAAAGCGUGGGGAGCGAAC